GACGACGCGUGGCGGCGUGGAUUAGGCAUGCAAGUCGAACGGUAUCAUCCUUUCGGGGGUGAGAGAGUGGCGAACUGGUGAGUAACACGUAGGUUAUCUACCCUCAAGACGGGGACAACCCAGGGAAACUUGGGCUAAUACCGGAUGUGAGCAACUUUUAGUUGUUUGAAAGGUGGCGUAAGCUGUCGCUUGGGGAUGAGCCUGCGUCCUAUUAGUUAGUUGGUGAGGUAACGGCUCACCUAGGCAAUGAUAGGUAGGCGGCCUUAACGGGUGGUCGCCCACACUGGGAUUGAGAUACGGCCCAGACUCCUACGGGAGGCAGCAGUCGAGAAUAGUCUACAAUGGUCGGAAGACUGAUAGUGCGACGCCGCGUGAACGAUGAAUCCCUUCGGGGUGUAAAGUUCUUUUAUAUGUGAGCAGUGCUUUCUAUGUGAACAGCAUGGGGAGAGAGAUAUUAGCAUAUGAAUAAGCAACGGCUAACUCCGUG
rnacentral:rRNA from 1 species